rnacentral:rRNA from 1 species
AUUGAACGCUGGCGGCAGGCCUAACACAUGCAAGUCGAGCGGAUGACGGGAGCUUGCUCCUUGAUUCAGCGGCGGACGGGUGAGUAAUGCCUAGGAAUCUGCCUGGUAGUGGGGGACAACGUUUCGAAAGGAACGCUAAUACCGCAUACGUCCUACGGGAGAAAGCAGGGGACCUUCGGGCCUUGCGCUAUCAGAUGAGCCUAGGUCGGAUUAGCUAGUUGGUGGGGUAAUGGCUCACCAAGGCGACGAUCCGUAACUGGUCUGAGAGGAUGAUAAGUCAAACUGGAACUGGGACACGGUCCAGACUCCUACGGGAGGCAGCAGUGGGGAAUAUUGGACAAUGGGCGAAAGCCUGAUCCAGCCAUGCCGCGUGUGUGAAGAAGGUCUUCGGAUUGUAAAGCACUUUAAGUUGGGAGGAAGGGCAGUAAGUUAAUACCUUGCUGUUUUGACGUUACCGACAGAAUAAGCACCGGCUAACUCUGUGCCAGCCGCCGCCGUAA